CUUUUUAGGGCCAUACCCGCAGCAUAUGGAGGUUCCCAGGCCAGGGGUCAAAACUGAGCUACAGCUGUCCGCCUACACCACAGCCACAGCAACUCGGGAUCCCAUCCACAUCUGCGACCUACACCACAGCUCACAGCAAUGCCAGAUCCUUAACCUGCUGACCGAAGCCAGAGAUCAAACCUGCAUCCUCGUGGAUGCUAGUCAGAUUCGUUUCUGCUGAGCCACGAUGGGAACUCUGAUGGGUUAUCAUUAUUGACAAGUUAUUUCAUUUCUAUAGACACAUAACAAACUAUGGUAGAAAUGCUAAAGAAAAGGUCAAAAUGGAAAAGCCAAACCAGUUAAAAUAUGAACUCAAGGAGACUUUCCCACAAAAUUCCAUAACCUAGUAGAGUCUUCUACUAACUUAGGUCAGGAGUCAGCGAACUACAUCCAGUGGGCCAAAUGCAGGCCAUUGCUUGUUUUUGUAAAUAAAGUUUUAUUGGAACACAGCCACAAUUCAUUCAUGUACUGUCUAUGUUUGGUUUUGGCCUACAAAGGCAAGGUCAAGUUGUUGUGACAGAGACUUUCUGGCCUGAAAAACCAAAAAUAUAUAUUCUCUGGCCCCUUACAGAAACAGUUUGCUGACUUCUGCCUUAGGUCCCUGGCCUCUUCCAAAUGACCACUUUUAUAAAGGGUAUUUGUAUGUAAUUAAUGAUCUUCAAGAAAAUAUGUCAUCUAUAGACUUAGCAAAGAAAACAAAAAACAAAAAAAAGCCCAUACAAACAAACAAGUUAAGAACACAUAGUUCUAGCAAGAAGGAUAUUUGUAAAGGACCCUGCAAAGCACUCGCUUGAAGCAAUGUAAUUUGCAUAAAUACGUUGUGAUUGAAAUAAAGCGUUUGGCUGAUAUGUACAUUUCCUGAUGCGAGAGGGAGGGGAUUUGAUUUGCUGUGGCGAGUGUUAUUAAAUAAUGUAAAUAUAUCUACUCCACAGACUAUAUAAGUGUGCUACAAUGCUAGAAGGGUCACUGUGAGAUGGCUUUCACACUAAGGAAGCUGGCAGUAACCAAGAGAGACUUCCAGAAGAAAGGAGUACAAGAGGAAUGAAGACAUAUAUCUCCGCACUCGUGUGCUCCACCUCACGUGUCACGGCUCUCUCGUGCCUCCACCUUAACUACUGCACGACUGUGGAUUUUUUUUUUUUUAACCAGCUGCACCUGCGGCAUAUGGAAGUUGCUGGGCUAAGGGGUUGAAUCGGAGCUACACCACAGCUUGUGGCCACAGCGGCUCCUUAAUCCACUGAGCGAGGCCAGGGAUCGAACCGGCAUCCUCACGGACACUCUGUCUGGUUCUUAACCCGCUGAACCACAACAGGAACUCCCUACUUUGGAACCUUAAGCUCAAAUAUUCCAGUCUUUGAGCACCAUCGCCAAUCCUUUCUCCUCUCUUGAUUUCCUUCCAGGUAAUCAGCCUCCUCUCAAACCUCUCAACUUCUGAUAAGGAUUCAGCUGCCUUAUGGAGCCCGGAUCCCGGGGGCAGCAGCAGAAAUUCUUCUUGCCCUUCCUCUGUCUUCCUGCUGUGAUUCAGCAAAACUGCAUUCCGCUAAGUGAGAUAAGGCAGAAGCAGAAAGACAAACACCAUAUGGUCUCACUUAUAUGUGGAAUCUAAAAAAACCAAACCAAAACCAAACCCCAAGCUGAUUGACAGAUAAAGAGAAGAGACCUCAUUUUACUGCGCUUCACAGAUAUGGCGUUGUAUUUUUUUUUUUAUGUUUUGUUUUUGUUUUUGUUUUUGUUUUUACAGAUCGAAGGCUUGCGGCAGCCCCUCAGGGAGCAAGUCUACAGGGGCCGUUUUUCCAACAGCAUUUGCUCACUCACUCACUUCGGGUCACUAUGCCACAUUUUGCUAAUUCUCACAAUUACCUUUUCAUGGUUAUUCUAUUUGUGACGGUGAUCUUUGAUAUUACUGCUAUGAUGUGCUGAAAGCUCAGAGGCUGGUUAGCAUUUUUAUCAAGAGUGUUUUUUUUUUUUUGUCUUUUUUGCUAUUUCUUUGGGCCGCUCCCGCGGCAUAUGGAGGUUCCCAGGCCAGGGGUCGAAUCGGAGCUGUAGCCACCGGCCUACGCCAGAGCCACAGCAACGCAGGAUCCGAGCCGCGUCUGCAACCUACACCACAGCUCACGGCAACACCGGAUCCUUAACCCACUGAGCAAGGGCAGGCACCGAACCCGCAACCUCAUGGUUCCUAGUCGGAUUCGUUAACCACUGCGCCACCACGGGAACUCCAAGAGUAUUUUUUAAUUAAGGCAUGUACAUUGUCUUUUUAGACAAAAAUGCUACUACUGUAGAGCUAAUAGGCUACAGGAUAAUGUAAACAUGACCUUUACAUGCACUGGGCAACUGACAAUCGGCAGGACUCUCUUUAUUGAAAUAUUCGCUUUAGUGCAGUGGCCCGGAA
rnacentral:lncRNA from 1 species